CGGUUGAUCCUGCCGGAGGUCACUGCUAUUGGGAUUCGANUAAGCCAUGCGAGUCGAGAGGGUUCGGCCCUCGGCUGACGGCUCAGUAACACGUGGAUAAUCUGCCCUUAGGUGGAGGAUAAUCUCGGGAAACUGAGGAUAAUACUCCAUAGAUCUAGGAUGCUGGAAUGCAUCUAGAUUGAAAGCUCCGGCGCCUAAGGAUGAGUCUGCGGACUAUCAGGUUGUAGUCAGGGUAAAGACCUGACUAGCCUACGACGGAUACGGGUUGUGAGAGCAAUAACCCGGAGACGAUAUCUGAGACACGAUAUCGGGCCCUACGGGGCGCAGCAGGCGCGAAAACUUCACACUGUGCGAAAGCGCGAUGAGGGAAUCCCAAGUGUUUGCUCGUAAGAGUAAACUGUUUCUUUGUUUAAAACGCAGAGAGAGUAAGGGCUGGGUAAGACGGGUGCCAGCCGCCGCGGUACUACCUGCAGCUCGAGUGGUGAUCAUUAUUAUUGGGCCUAAAACGUCCGUAGCCGGUUUAGUAAAUGCCUGGGUAAAUCGUGUAGCUUAACUAUACGACUUCCGGGUAGACUGCUAAACUUGAGACCGGGAGAGGCUAGAGGUACUCCUGGGGUAGAGGCGAAAUUCUGUAAUCCUAGGGGGACCACCAGUGGCGAAGGCGUCUAGCUAGAACGGGUCUGACGGUGAGGGACGAAGCCCUGGGGCACAAACCGGAUUAGAUACCCGGGUAGUCCAGGGUGUAAACGCUGCUUGCUUGAUGUUAGUUGGGCUCCGAGCCCAACUAGUGUCGGAGAGAAGUUGUUAAGCAAGCUGCCUGGGAAGUACGGUCGCAAGGCUGAAACUUAAAGGAAUUGGCGGGGGAGCAC
rnacentral:rRNA from 1 species